CUUGUAUGUGCCUGUUCCAGGUGAGUCCUUCCUCAUUCUCACCCUCCUGCCUGGCUUCCCCACCCUGAAGGAGCUACAAGGAGCAUGGAGAGAGACGAUUUAUGAGGGAGUGUGAAACAAGCACUGGAUGCUUGAUAUCCCUUCAUACCAGUAUGUGAGGAGCACUGGAAAUGAGGCCUGGAGCUUUCCCUGCAGCUGGGUCACUGCCUGAACAGCGAAGCUCCGGUGCAUGUAGUAGAAAAUGGAAUGAAUCACUUGAUGCCGGAUAAGAUGGUCUUCAUCUCCUGAAUUCUCAGAAUUAGAGCCAAAACCAGAUGGUUUAGGAUUUGGCAGGCUGUGGGCAGCCCGUGUUGUUCUGGGUGUCAGUUAAUCCAAAGGACAAUGACUACAUCAGUCCAGUUAUACCUGGGAACCACCUCAAAGCCAAAGGGAAGGCCUGAGAGUGCACAGGAGAUGUUUGAGGCAUAGCAGAAGGAAAUAAUGAAUGACAGUGUUUGUGGGGAAUCACUGAGCACCCCAGGAGAUUAAAGAUGGGACUUUAAAACUAUUCCAGUCUACAACAAGAAGGCACUUUCUGCAGUACUUGUGGGUGAAUUGUGGCUUCUUGAAGUCAUGGAGAUAACAAGAAUAUUUAGGUAUUACCAUAAGGAUUUUGUGAAAGAUGAACUCCACAGGAAAAGCAGAAUUUUUCAGUGGCUUUGCUAAGAUGGAAACAGGAAAUCAUCUUUUUAUUCUAAAAAUAAACUGAGUAAUGCAAGUCACGUUGUUCUGCAUGAGCAGCAAGGAUGAUUUCAGUUUGAAAGCUCUCUUCACAGUCUCUGAAACUGAAAUCUUGAAAGUCCCUCUUGCUGAACAGUCAGACUUUCCAUAACUAAUGCAGCCAUUGCGCCCGUGAGCAUCACACUGCAGGUUCUGCUCCCACUGCUUUAACUCGGUGAAUUCAUCUUUCUUGUCCUUGAAUCCUUGCUGGUGUUGCCAGUUUGAUUUCAGACUGUUGGAGCCUUGGGCUAAACAAGUCCCAGCUCAGGAGUGAGGCUCUGGCUGUGUGUCCUCACAGCAGCAUGGACACAGCUUCUGCCAGAGCCACUGCUCUAAAGCCCUGUCAGAGACACUGCUCUCAGCUCCAGCCUUGGCAAGGACAAACCAAAACAGAAACUCCUCUAACAAGCCAAAGAUAUCAGGGAAAUAGUCCCUAGAUUUCAUUUUCCCUGGAAAGGACAGAACUAAGGUGUCAGGAGCAAAGGUAGAUCUGCAAACCACUCUCCUUCAUUGCUUCAAAAUAGCAACAGCAUGGAAAAAGGGAUUGAUGGCAAGACAGUGAGGAGUACCACUGGCUAACGCAAAUCUGCACCCAGAAUAUUUUCCUCUUUAAUAAAAUAACUGACAAAGCAAAUCUGGAAUCCAUUUAACAAUGGGUGAGAUGGUGACUCUCAUGCCAAGACUGUCGUGUUCCCUCUGGGUUACUCCAAACCUCUGCGGCCCCCACAUCCUGAAUUUGGUACAAACUCCCACACAGCUUGGCACUUGGGCUCACUGAGGAGCAGACCUGGACAAUGAGAGCUAAAAAGUUCCUUUUUCCAGCAAUGGGCUGUGACAGAUCUGUGCACUCCACCUAUCAGCCAUGGGGGGACAACGUGCAACCACCACUCCUUGAUCUGGGAAACCAAACAUAGAAUUCCUGCCAGCUUGAAAAUUAAUGCUUGAACCCCGGUGAAAAUCCAGUAAAGAAGCAGAAGAGGUUGUAGCCCAAUUUGUCUAUACAUUAUGUUUGUUAUUUAGUUCCUACUUAAAUAAUAACUCACCCAGGUUUUGAGCAGCCCAAUGAGCAUGGGAUGAAUCAGUGGAGGACAACCAGGGACUGUCAGACAUCAGUUCAGUAGCAGACUGGAGACCAAGAGAAGCCAAAUGUGGAAAGUACAAUGGUUUAUACACAAAUACAGGCAUAGGCCAAAGGUACAGGAGAAAAGUGCUUUAAAAGUCACAUUAUCUUUGGGUUGCCCCAUUAAAUGUUUACUUUCACUGUAGUUGUAGGCAGCAGGAUGACACCAGAGAACAGGAGUUCUGUCAGUGUCCAAGUGUCUCUUCCCAAGUAUUCCUGUGUGGAGCUGAGGAGACAACAGCUGUUGGGGAGAACUGCAGUCAGGAGAUGAAGCAAAUUACAUUGUCCAACUACCGGUGCCAGUAAAUGUGGAUACAACCAAGACUCUCCUCCUCAUGAAGCUGGGGAUAAUUUUACAAUCAAUAGAAGUUGCAGAAGCUGCACAUCCUUCAAAUUGUUGUCUGAAGGUAGGACAAGGGAGUCUUUCUUCAAAAAUGCCUUAAAUGUUGGAUCUUAAUCUGAACUGAUGUCUCCUGGCUCUUGCAGACUUCCCUGCUCCUGUAUAGACUCUAAUGAGGAGCUGAGAUGUUUGCUGUGAAAUUUCAUCACUGAAAGGAUCGUGAAAAAGUUGAAAUGCUGUGAUCCUUGGGAAAAUGUUUGCACAUCUUUGUGAUUCUCUUUUCUUGACAUUUCUAUGCUUUUUGUCCGAAGGAAUGUACCAGGAAUGUGUAGUCUGUGUCCAUGGGCUUCCAUUAAAGUCUCUGAAUAAAUGCUAAAGGAUGCUUCAAGGCAGAUAUGUUGUUAGGCACUGUUAAGUCUGAUUUUCUUCAAUAUCAGCUGAAGCUCUGAUUAUUUCCUUUUCAAAAGCAAAAGGUCAAUAGAAAGUAAGCAGACAUUCCUAUUAAUACAACUGUAGCGUUUCCUUGUUGCCAUGGUUUUGUGUGUGUAAAUGAUGAUAAAACAAGCACUUACAUUGAAAAGGGCAGUUCAGCACUAGACAGGAGCAGGCACCACAAAAAAGUUUCCUUGGUGUAGGUAAGUAGUCCUUAUUUAAAAGCAACUUUUAUUUGGCUGGUGUGCAGAGCUCCGUCUUCAUAAAUGUUUAAUCCCAGGGCUAUCAAACCUUCCUUGACCUCGUGGUUUACAGUAAAUGGGGGGGAAAAAAGGAGCAAGAUGUUCCUUUGUAGAAAAUCAAACUUAGAGAACAUGGCUGGAGCUGCAAAUAUUUCACUGUCAUUUUAGAAACUUUGACAGAAAUUUAUUAAGGUGGAACUUUUCUGGAACAUUCCUCAAUCUCUACAGCCAAAGACUUGAGAAGAUAAUAGAUGAGUGUAAAUCCAGGAUUUUCCAGGGGAUUCCUGAGAUGGCUCCUGUAAUGCAGCAUGGAAGAACAACACAACCAAAGUGGUGUUAGAGACACAGCAAGGUUAUGCUCACCCCACAGGCCAGCAACUCCUGUCACCUUCCACAUAAAUAGGUUUUAAGGUAAAUCACUUCAUUGCAACUUUUUUUUCUUAGUGUUUUCUCUUCCUUUGCAGAGGAUUGUAAUGGAAUGGGUUGUGAGGCAGAUCUGGCUUGGUCUGUGCUUCAGGUGAUGGGGAGCUUUGCUUUCUAAAGCUUUGUUUGGAAUGGUGAGUGAGAGGUGAAUAAUUGCCAGUGGAUGUUAAGCAAGAAAGGGUUAGGGCCACAUUUUCGUAUAUCCCAAAUUGUUUGAGGAUAGAGUUCAAAUUGCUGACAUCUUUUGGAAAUCUGGUUGCAAGUAGCCUCUCCCCAUUUCCUUCAUCCCUCUUCAUAUAUCUCCAUGUGUCACCUGCCCACUGUGGUUGUUCCUGGAGCAGAAGAGAUGGGAGAUGCAAGGAGAGGGCACAACUGGCUUCCCAGGGGAGCAGAGUGUUAGUGAUAAUGAAAUAGAUGAUUCCUGGGGAGAUCAGACUCUCUUUGAAUGCCUGAACAGGACCCCACUGUGUAUUUUAGCAUGGGAGAAUCGGAACCCCAACUCUCUCUCUCUUUUUUUUUUUUUUUCCAAAAAGGAAAACAAGAACAACAAAAAAAGAGAUUUUGACAAGCUGUUGGCAGAUUUUAAGUUUCCUGCUCUAGAAUAAAUUGAGGCAACUGUUUUUUAGCCUGCCAUAUUUCCAGUUAUUAAACUGUGUGUGGUCUGUACCAAUGCUCACCACCAGAGAGCCCUUCAUUGUGGGUUUCAUAUGGGGCACCUGCAGUGCCGGGGAGCCUUUGAGGGGCGGGUGGGUCGGACCCUCCCAGGGCUGUGGGACCCUCCCAGGGCUGUGAGCCACAUCCCCGGGCUGGUUCACAGACACAAGGAUGUGCCGGGCAUGCUUGGAAGUUCAAGCUCAGUGAACUGAGACCUUGGAGAACAAUUGCCCCGGCUGGCAGCACCGUCCUGGGAAGGCCUCUGAGGCUGCCCUUCCUCAGAAACGCCCCAGCCUCUCCCCAGCCGCCCUCUCUUUAGACGUUCACAAGUUUUCCUGACAAAAGAGCAAUUACAAGCUGACAGCAACAGCUCACAAAGAGGAUGGGGAUGACCCCGAGGAGCAGUUUCUGCAGCUCAACACAUGGCCAGUCACCGACAAAGCCGGCCCGCUCCCAUUUGAUCCCAGAAGAGCCUCCCAGACUGGCACGCUUGACCAAGAACUGGCUGGGUGACUCAUUCGUCUGGCGGCUCUGUGAUUCAUGAGCCUCCAGGAGGAAGGGAGGAGGGAGGCAAAAGCUUUUCAAAUCUCGAGUUAAAUGCAAGAGAAACACAUUCCCCACAAAGCAGACGCUCGGCUGUGUCCAAUUGGUGCCGGAAUGCCCACACAAAGCCAGGGCAGCAGUCCUGGUGUGACGCACGGCGAGGCUCCGGGGCCAGCCCCACCGCGGCCUGCACCUUCCCAGCUCUGUGGUUUGGAAGGCCUCGAGUGUAAAAACAGCAAUCGUUCCUUACGUCUUAUCCUUGUGUGCUCUGUGCAUCCUGGCCCUGGGAUUUCCCCAGGAACAUCCCACUUGUCAGUGCUUUGGAGUUGAUAUUGAGGGCUUUGACCUGAUAUUCAGGUCAAAAAAACCUCAAAUGAAUUUGUCCAGUUGAAAUUAAACUUCUGAUCUGCACCAAUAAUUUUGGCUCCCUCUCGUAUCUGUGAAGCAUGUCCCCAGGCAGGAGUGCCAUCCUCAGAGGUGUUCACAGGAGGCAGGACGGUCUCCAAGAUCACAGAAGAACCUCACCAGCUGACCUGACUGACCGUCCCUCUCUUCAGUGACAAGGGACAGAGGAGGAGAGUCCAGCCCUGGCAUCAAGGAGGGCCUUCCCUCAGUGUUGUCUGAGCCCUGCCAGGAGCUGUGGGUGGUGCCGAGUGUUCACUGGAAUGCUGGUGCUCCCAGCCACCAUUCCCCUCCCAGGCAGCAUUUUAUUUAUUGUUAUUUGUUGCUUCAGACAUAUGGGUCAAAAUGUGAAAUUAUUUAGCAGCUGUUGUCAGAUGGAUUUUAAAACAAUUAACGAGUGCUAAAAAUGGGCAGCUUACUUUCUCUCUUGGAUUUUGCCAAAGAAAGUGCCUGUUUUCUGUUUGUUUGCCAGCAGUUUGUGUCUCCUGCUGCUGUGGCCACGUCUGGCCUUGGAGCACGUUUUUCUCUCAGUGAGUGCCAGCUGCCUGAACCAUGGCCCAGCUGGCCUGGGUGGGGGCUUGGAACACCCCAGGGUUUUGGGUUUUUUUUUGCUUUUCUUGUGUUGUUACUGUGAUCCUGGGCACCCUGCAUCACCCACCUGCCAUGGCUGGAUUCCACCACUCCACAUCCGCACUGGGGACACAAUGCAGGACCUACUAAAGACCAGCACCAAAGGAGCUUAGGGGCUUCCCUCCCUGGGACCACCAAGACAGCUCUGAAGGAUGCAGAGAAUUGAUGGUGACCCAAAGCACUGACUGAAUGGAAGAGGGAACCUGCCCAGCUCAGGCCAUCUGGGAAUGUAAACCACACUGACCAAGGAAACUUGAGGAUAUUGCUAGUGAAUGCAGAAAGAAAAGAACAGGAAUAUGGGGAAAGCAGGAGUGACUUUACCUCUGUGAAGACCCCUGCCACCGCAGAUCAAGGGCUAAUCUUUUCAGGCAGUACUGGUCGGCUGGAUCUGCUUCCCACACCAGCAAUAACGUGUUCUGAAUGAGUGGAGGGAGAUUCUGACCACCAUUCUGCCAGAGCCUACUUGGUUGAAGACUGCUGAGUCUUAGGAAAUCGGUCUGAAAGGAAUUAAUUCAGUGCUUCGAGGUACAUGGCAUCAUCAGGAUUUCAUUCCAUCACUGGAAGCAACAGAGGGAUGGAGUCAGUCAGGUGGGCAUCUGUAGAAAAUGGACUUUCAAGGCAUUUUUUCUCAUCAUUGUGGGAUUGCUGAGUCACCCACAGCAAAUGGAAAAUGUCCCAGGACAUUUAAAGGUGAUUUUAGAUCAUCUGAACUGCCACAUUAAGCUGGGAAAAUAAAUACAUGGCAAAGCAUGAGAAGACCAGAGUGCUCCAGGUGAGGACAGCAGUUGGCUCUAAGGAGCCCCUGGGGGCUCCAAUGAUCCUGCAGGUCCCAGCUGGCUGAGAGGAGCCCGAGUGACCCUAUAGAUGAAGGAGUUUGGUGUCAAUGCAGCAGCCUGACCUCUGAUGUUUUAGGGUUUGAGAUCCCUGCUGGUCUAAUCAAAAAUUCUAAUAUCUUAGUUCUUCAAAGUCUCACCGCUGGUAUGUGAGGUAAAAGUCAAUACAGGAGCAAAAAUAGAUGCCCAGAUGUGUAGGUAAGGUUUCCAAAUAUUUCAAAUCCUCUGUCUAAGUUGUAAUUAGAAAUUAAUUCAUCAGUAAGCUGGAUAUGACCUUGCCAGGAGAAAGGAAGAAUCAAGCAGGCAGUGUCUUAAGCAGCUUAUUCCAGGGUAGGUGGUCUCUCAGUCUGGUACCCAUGCACCUUACAUUGAGGACAAACCAUACGAGCACAAAUCUUUACUCAUUAUUUAAUAUGGUCAUUUAGGAAGCAAAACAAAUAGAUAUUUAUUUUUACUAUCAUUUAGCUGCUCAUGUUUUGUAUUUGUCUAAACAAGGCAAAAGUACAAACUGCUUUUCCCACUGAGCUCCCAGGGAAUUUGGCAGAUUUCUGGUGCAUCUUUGGGUGUAAACCUGGGUUCACACCCACCCUUACUUGCAGCAGCCCCAUUCACAUAUUUGCAUUUAUAAACUGAGAUCCUGUCCUGCCUCCAUUUAUAGAUCAAAUGCAGUAAGUUUAGCAGUGAGAAGUGAAAAGAUUUCUGUAGCUGCUGGAACUGGGUGGGCUCUGCAAGCCCCAACUGCUCGUGGGUUUAUCAGCAGCAGCAGUAAAGUCCAUGGGGUUGAUGAGCAGAGACAUGACUCAACUUCCCUGUACAGCCUGGGAUUGUCUGUGAGGGUGAUCUCAGAGCUGAUGGGCAGAAGGAGAACCCUUUAACAGUCCUCACUUCCUCGGGUGCUGCUGCACUUCCAACACUUGCAGUGGGCAGGGAGCACCUCUGCUAACUCAAAGACCUCUUGUCGAAAGCAUAAUUAAUCCUUCAGAAUAGCCAUGGACUAUCCAAUGCUGCUUUGAAAAGAAAAGGAUUAGGUUCACGUGUCCUGGAAGAGAGUACCCAGAUUGGGUUUAUUGGAGGGUUUCAAAAGAGGUGGAAGGGAAGAGAGUGUGGAGCAAAUUCUUUUACUUGAGGUCCUUUGUCAACAGGAAGACAUGUGCAGCUCAGGGCACUGAGCAAAUGCCAAAGCAGGUACAAUCAUUGACAAAUAUGGCUGCAAGCCAGGCUCUCAGGCUGGAAGCUGCAAGAUAUCAAAUACUUUGUCAGUCUCAGUAAGCUGGUAAAUAAAGAGAAGAGUUUGGAGCUGAUCUUCACAAAGAGUGCUUUCAGCCCCAGCUCCUACUUCAAUACUCUGCAGCUGGGAGAGGGCACAGGGAGCCUCAUUUAUGCAUCCAGCAGCAGUUUAUGACAGGCUCCAUCUCAUCUCAAGCAUCUGACAUAGACACGCAUCAUUGUUCAAUUUGUAGAUUCUUGCAUCUAAAAGUUUAAUAAGCGCUUCAUUUGAUUUCUUAAUGCAUUUCACAGAAAGUGAACAUUUUUCCUGGCAGAGCAUGGACUCUGAGCUCUUUUAUCUGCGCCCCAUAAAGGGCUGGGAUGUCUCUUUGAGCUUGGCCAAUAAUUUGAAAGUAAUCCAGAUUUUGUUUUUCCUGCAGGUCUAAAUGAAAAGUGAAUGUUUUAAGUGGAGGAGUAAGAGGUACAUUGAAUUUGGAAAUAUGACCCAAGUAGCAGCUGAGCUGUGGAAAAAUUCAAGGAGUUAUUAAAUCUUUAAAACUCAAUUGUUUAGAAAUUAGGCACAUAGUUUUUAAAUGACAUUUUGGCAAAGCUGUGUAAGUUACCCUUCCCAUCAUAUAUUUUAUUAAACCUUUGCCAUAUGUCCAGUCUUAACUGGCCAGCAGUGUCCCCAGGAGUGUCCCCUGAUUGCCUCCAAACUCACUAAAUGACCAGAGCACAUGUUCAGCCAUUGCUCAUCAGCACUUGAAGAAGCCUUGGUGCUUGAUUCGAAAUUCCUGGCAGCAAAGGUGAACUCCUGCCAUUUUCCCUUAGCAGUGGGUCCUCGGGAAGGGAGGCCACUGGAGGAGAUGAUCUUUCUCUCCCAUGAUACUGCAAGUAUUAUAAGCUGAGCAGCUUUGAGUUUCUUAAGGCUGAGCUGCUUCUCUCACGCUGUAGGAGCAGAAGAACAUCUGGUCUUAGCUACUGUUUUUCAACUGGAUCAUCUUGUGCCUCACUAAAAUGAAUGAGAAACACAUGCAAACUGUAUUUUCAAAAAGUUGUAUUUCAUUGAUGCAACUCAAGUAGUGAUUUUCACAUGCAAUUAGAUACACAGAUGUAGACAACCAACAAUUUACACACACACACUACAUUUCCAACGAGGCCCUACGAGCAUUCCCAGAUGCUUUACACAUGGAAACAGGCACAUGGAGAGGAGGCAUGGGAAAGUAUUCACAUGUGCAAUUGUAUCUUCCCACAGCAAUGCCUGGGAAUUAGAAAGGACUGACUGAGACAAUAUUUUGGAUGUAAAAUCUGAUGACACUUUCAAUUCUGUUCUGCAGGCCCCACUAUAAAUAAUGCUAAUUAUUAAUUAUGAUCUGCCUACAACAGCACUUCCCCAGGCACUUUGCAACAGUGUAGAGAAAAAGAGCUGAAAUUGCCCUGGUGUUAUUCUGCUUUUGAGAAGAGUUUUGGAACAGCCAUCAGUGUCCAAAACACUGCAGGAACAAUAUAAAGAUGUCCUCAAGACAUUGAUGAAGAGUGAGAAACUGAAGAACAACUACAGCCCUCUGCUGUGGAGCCAGGGUGGGAGAGUUGGGUCUGCUCAUCCUGGAGAAGGGAGGACUCUAGGGAGACCUCAGAGCCCCUUCCAGUGUCUAAAGGGGCUCCAGGAGAGCUGGAGAGGGACUGGGGACAAGGGAUGGAGGGACAGGACACAGGGAAUGCCUUUAAGUGACAGAGGGCAGGAUUAGGUGGGACAUUGCGAAUAAAUUCUCUCCUGGGAGGGUGGGCAGGCCCUGGCACAGGUGCCCAGAGCAGCUGUG